rnacentral:rRNA from 1 species
AACGAACGCUGGCGGCAUGCCUAACACAUGCAAGUCGAACGAGACCUUCGGGUCUAGUGGCGCACGGGUGCGUAACGCGUGGGAAUCUACCCUCAGGUUCGGAAUAACUCGGAGAAAUUUGAGCUAAUACCGGAUGAUGACGUAAGUCCAAAGAUUUAUCGCCUGAGGAUGAGCCCGCUUAGGAUUAGGUAGUUGGUGAGGUAAAGGCUCACCAAGCCGACGAUCCUUAGCUGGUCUGAGAGGAUGAUCAGCCACACUGGGACUGAGACACGGCCCAGACUCCUACGGGAGGCAGCAGUGGGGAAUAUUGGACAAUGGGCGAAAGCCUGAUCCAGCAAUGCCGCGUGAGUGAUGAAGGCCUUAGGGUUGUAAAGCUCUUUUACCCGGGAUGAUAAUGACAGUACCGGGAGAAUAAGCUCCGGCUAACUCCGUG